AAAGAUUUAGUUUAAUUAAAACAUUUAGUUGUCAAUUAAAAAAAACCUUAAGGUAAUCUUUU
rnacentral:tRNA from 1 species